rnacentral:tRNA from 1 species
GACCGCGUAGCUCAGUUGGAAGAGCAUUGGGCUAGGAUUCCAAAGGUCGUAGGUUCGAAUCCCACCGUGGCCG